rnacentral:rRNA from 1 species
GAUGAACGCUGGCGGCGUGCCUAAUACAUGCAAGUCGAGCGCACGGACGAGAAGCUUGCUUCUCUGAUGUUAGCGGCGGACGGGUGAGUAACGCGUGGAUAACCUGCCUAGAAGCCGGGGAUAACUUCGGGAAACCGGAGCUAAUACCGCAUAAUAUUUUAAGCCGCAUGGUUCAUAUGUGAAAGACGCUCUUGCUGUAACAUAUAGAUGACUCCCCUCUUCUUUAGCUGUUUGGUAAGGUAACGGCUUACCAAGGCAAGGAUGCAUAGCCGACCUGAGAGGGUGAUCGGCCACACUGGAACUGAGACACGGUCAAGACUCCUACGGGAGGAAGCAGAAGGGAAUCUUCCGCAAUGGGGGAAAGCCUGACGGAGCAACGCGGCGUGAGUGAUGAGGGUCUUCGGAUCGUAAAACUCUGUGAUUAGGGAAGAACAGAGGUGUAAGUAAAUGUGCACAUCGUGACGGUACCUAACCAGAAAGCCACGGCUAACUACGUG